CCGCCGCCGCCAUGGGCGCGAUGGGUGGGCGCGGGCUGCGCGUGUGCCUGCCUGGCAUCAGACGGCACUGUGACUCCUCCCGAACUCUGAAAUGCAAAGAUGUUCCAUGGACCGCGGCAUCGCCUUUCCUCCCAGGUCCUUCGUACGUUGCCAGCAGGCCCUCGUGGAAUCAGCACCAUUUGGAAAAUGAGAUGAAAGCUGUUUUAUUCCUCUUGCACAGUAAGGAAUGAGAAAUCCUCUUGCCCCAGUUGGUGUUUCGAUAUAAACUGCAUCGACGGUGGAGCCUCCAUUAUCCAGAUGAUUUUGCAGAAACAAAUGGCCAUGGGCUGUGCAGCCCCUUUGUCACCCACUGCAGAUCUACCACCUCCGAUGGGUUCAUAACAGCAGAGCUGAGGGAGAGGAGUGAGGACAAACGCCGGCACUUGUUUGCAUUGCUGCAGAAUACAAAAGUCAUAUUCAUCAACCCUACAAUCAUUCUGAGGAAGCGUGCUGCUUAAAAUUAUGCGUGAGCAGAAAAAGGCAAGGUGGAUAUAUAGCUCACAGAAGGAUUUCACUGCCUACCCCCCAGCUGCUGCGGAGCAUUGACAUCUUUUCUCAGUGGUCUUCUCUCAGAGGGAUCCUUAAGGCACCAGAAUCUCUGCUCUCUGUUACCCCAGCUGAAACAGAGCUGAUGUACGAUCACACCAGUUCAGCUUCUGUAAGUGAGACCGACAUUUGGCUGCUGUUCUGGGGUGUGUUUGUCCAUUUGCUUGAUAAAGCACUGUGCACAUGCUGCUUCCUUCCACUGCACAUCCAAGUAGAGGCCCGGCUUUCAACAGAAGUAAUCAUACAGUACCAACUGCCAGGAAGGCCAUCUUCAAAGUCAGCAUAUAAUUCUCUGGAAACACACACUGCUAUAUAAGCAACAUAUAAAAAUAUAGUGGGACAUUUUUAGAUUCUUUGAAGAUUUAAUGUUAUGCAAGUAGGAAAACUGAGAAUAUUAUAGAGUUACAUGAGAUGCUGAAAAUGAUAUUUACCAGCAAGGUAAUGCAAUAUACCUCUAUUGUGACAUUCAAUAAUUAAAGAGAGGCCCCCAGCAGUGAAUUGGUGGGUGAUUAACUCAUGGCAGCACCAUCCUCAGCCACCAGAGAAGUGGCAGCGCCUGCAGAGGGGCACUGGCAGCUGUGUGCCACAUCCCCAGCCCGGCACCGAAGCACAGCUAGGGAGUGCUUUUGGCAGAACUGAUUUCUCCUUUCUCCGAAUGGAAAUUAACAGAAAAAUGGAGACUGGGCGGCCAUUUCCAGAGACAGGUUUUUUUUUUCCUGGUAGUAGCCUUAGGCUGACUUUCUGGAUUUAAGACAUCAUUCUGCCCCUAAUUCUGCAUAGGUACGAUGGUCUGUUCAGAUAGGAUCUGUAAUUCAGCUCCAGCAGAAAAAAAUAGAGGAAUUUGAAGUUUGGUCUUUAAUGAACAGAAGCCAACAGCUGACAAAUUAAGUACUUUGGAGAAGUGAAAAUUAAACAGUCCUGCAGACACGAGUGUUGGCAUAUGGAAAGCUGCCACUGAGCUAAUAAUAGAUGUGUCUACUGCAGCAGAGAGGGAGGUCCCCAUCGUCCCGGAGCACACCAUACAUCUGGGCACUGGGAAAACAGCCACGAGGCGGUGUCUGUUUGUUGCUUGUUACCUUCCUGCCAGCUAUUCAUCUGCUGCAACUGCUGGCUGAGGGCAGCCAUCCACAGGCAGUGACACUGCACUGCAACGGCACCGGGAUCAGUUCUGCCCACCAGCUCCCAAUUUAGCAGAUGAGUUUCCUGAAGCCACAGAAGCACAGGAGAGUCUUCCACUAGCACACUGCUUGCUGCAGUGCAACUGCUCUACAUAAUUCCCCCAAACUCAGCCAACAGAAUGCAGAAACGUGAGCGUGUGACAACAGCCAUUUCCUCACAUUACUUCAGGUAGCUGUAAAAGCACAAAACUACCUGUGGACUGGGUCUUCCUUACUUAUACCAGCCCAACCCCUCCAUCAUCUCUUUGUGUGCAGUAGAGUCAUGCUGCUGAAAAACAGGAGGAGAACCAGGGUCACUACAUGAAAGAUGGAAAAAAGCAUAGAGAAAUUACAAAUCAGAGAAGGAAAGUGAUUUACAGACAGGUGAUUAAGAAACUCAUCAACUGUAUUUUCGUAAGUAUUCUCUUGUUCAUUAAAGGGAGGAUACAAAUGAACAGGGUGGUGGAACUGCAGGCAGCCGGCAGCAGGGUAACUUAGCUCCAGUUAUUGCCAAAAACACUCCAAGCAAAGAGACCGAAGUACAUGAUGUGCUCCAGCAGCCAGCAGUAAGGAAGGCUGUGUGUACGUUGUACGGCAGUAGGAGGAGGAGCACACUCAUGUGAAACACGCCUCACCCUACAGACGCUCUCCUGGAGAUGACAGAUGAGGUUGAUUCACAGCACUCCUCCCAAAGAGUGUCCCUACACCCUGUAAUACAGAAAGCCAACAAGAGAUAAUGGGCACUAAAGAGCAGAAGUGAGAUAAAGCACUAAAGAGAAGAGAGAGAUAAGGUGCCAGAGAGGAGAUACGCGUGAGUGUGCGCACACAGAGGAACAAGCUCUAAUAUGAAGCAAGGGCAGCCUCUGCCAGUUUUAGCACUGAAUCACUACUUCUCUUCAUAGAGUACACAGCCCAUGAGCUUUUGGAGACUUCUGAGGUAACAAGCCAUGGGGCAAUUUUGGUUGCAUCACAGCUGAGUAAGCUGGAUAAUGAGAUGAGUGGAGAUGAGGCGACUCUGCUGACAUUAAGAACCCAUCGGUCCAGGAAAGGGAAGCUCCUGCACACCCGAACUGCUUUUCAGUCAAGCCUGAUGCUGUUGUCAUUAUGAUGGCAAAUACACAAAGGACUUUUAUUGUAGGUAUAUGCUCUGAAAAACCUGUGCCUCUGCCUGAGACUGUAGCAAGAAAAAGUAACCUUAAUAAGAGCCUGUAAGUUCUGUUAAUGUUUUGGUGCUUCCAAGUCAGUUCAGAAACUAAAAGGCUGUCUGAGAGUUCUGCAUCUUCUAGCUGCUUCCAGCAAGUAGUUGCUGUCUUUCACAUGGGUAAGUCCUCCAUUGGCAGAAUUCAGCUGGCCAUUUUAUCCUUACAGACUCCACCUACUGGCACUGUAUUGUCUACCACUAAAAUAUCACAUCUGGUUGGGUACCAUGAGCUUCACAGAGCUGAUAGCUGCAGCAGAUGAGCUUGCUGAUAGCCUUCCACGUGCCCCUGUGAGCUUGCCAGAGCAAAGAAUCUGACCCCAGCAGCGCUGGCUGCUGGGAACGUGACUGGGACAGAUUUCUUCAGCAUCAGCCAGGUUUUUCCAGGUCUGAUGAGGAAGGGGUGGCUCUCUGGCCUUGCACAAUGUACCACUACAGCAGCCACACUUGUCGCCAUCCAGAAGAACAGGAGAACAGUUCCAGAAGUCUGCUCUUUCCUCAGCACAGGGUGCUAGGCACAGCCGCAGAAAGGUUUUGGCACCAUGAAGGUGCCCUGGCCUCCCCUGGCUGCCACUCACACGACUACUCAGACCUGCGCCUCAUCUCCCUUUGCUUACUUUAUAUCCUUCUCCACUGCUGAGCCCUUUGGUCCCUUUGUGCCCUCCUGGCUUGAACAGGGCACGAUAUGGGCACAGCAUGAGGAACCCGAGACAGGCAGAGGAGUGCAAGAGGUCCCAUGUGCUGCACCCCUGGGAAGGUGACACUUCUCCAUGCAGAGCAAUGGCACUGACACCACACAGAGCAGCAGUCCUUGAGUUAAAAUAGCAGCAACACUGACAGUACUCACAGGUCCCAGAAAGGAAAGGUGAUGCAGAAUUGUCUUGUUCACAUUUUCCAUACUGGGAACCAGCACAAACGUUGUCUGCUUCAAUCAUCCUCUGCAAUAUGUGAUACUCUGCCUCAAGAUUACACAAAUAAAAAAAAAAUACCCACAGUACUCCAUUUGUUUUCUCCAGGAAGAGCUCAAAACGCAACAAAAUCCAGCCCCUCUGUAUUGUUCUUCACAAGCUCCAAAGUGUUCAGCUGCUCAAGAUAUAUCACAUUACAGCCCAGGGAUGUACCCAUCCUCUGAGUAAGGAGGGCCAUCACCCCACAGCCAGCUGCUGCAGGACACGUGCUCUGUGCAUCUCAGGGCCAGCAGAGCUCCCAGCCAGCCCUGGCUUCUCUCAUAUUCACAUCAAACUACAGCUCAGAUCAGGGACAAAAUAUAUUUUCAGAGCUUUGAGAAAAAUAGGGUUUUUGUUUGUCCUCCCCCCCUCUCUUUCUUCAAAAUGACUCACAUCCUGUAAUAAUGAGCAAAGGACACCAACUGCAAUCUCUUUGUGAGAAGUAGCCUCAAGAAAUCUUACGGUGUUUUAGACAUUCAAAAUAAAAAACUGAUGAUUUCACAGCGUUAGUCAGCAAUAACUUCAGGAAGGCGUAUUGGAAGUCAAACAAAUCCUAAAGGUGUUGAUCUGAUUGGGAAUCUGACAGUUCCACAUCUUGCGGCAGAAAGCUGAAAACAACAGAAGGACACAGCAACAAAACACACACGAGAGUAAGAUCCAGUGGAAAAAAAGAUCUGACUUAGUAAAAACAAGACAGGAUACAGCAUCGGCCUUGUCCUAAAGAGAGAUUUCUUUGGCUUUUCCUAGUUUCUGAGGGCAAAAAGUGUGUUUUUCUUCCUUUCCGAGGGGCUGGAUUGAGGCUGUGCUGCUGGUGGGAAGAGCAGAUGGGGAACAUGCCUGUCCUGGCUCCAUCCAUUAUGUGGCUCCAUCAUUACAAGAAUCAACAAGCUUUCUGUCCUGCUCCACACAGCGUUAAAGCAAAUGCAAUGAACCUAAACUUGUCAGUAACCACAAAUGCACCUAAUCCACCAAAAAACAGGGAGCUGAGCCUGCAGGACAAGCUGCUCUCAGAAGUCCCAAGUCUGGAGACAGAGGAAAAUGCAGAGCACCACUUCUAGAAUAUUUUGUGUGGUAGGAGACCAUGUAAUCAGUGUACCAGAGUCAGAUGAGUACAGAAUCAGCAUUAGAAGCUGAAUCAUUUCCAGGAUAGGAGAGAUUUAUCCUAUACUGCUCCCUAUUAAAGUCUUACACAGUGUACUACCUACUCAGUAAACCCAAGAAAUUAAUUGACUCUGGCACAAAUGAACAGAUGAUAAAGAAGAUCCAAUAAGAAGACUUGGGAGAUAAAAACCUCUUUGUAUCUCCAUCGUGGGAGCUGGACCAAGGAUGAGGUUGGGCCCUGCCCUGCACAGCGUGCGCUUUCCAUCACUGCCGCAGCCUCUUUCUUGCCUGGAUACACCACACUCCUCGGGGUGAAUCAGGGCUCCCUCACAUCAUGCAAGAGCCAGCAAAGAGCAUACGAGCCUGAAGCCACAAGUCUGAAGCUACUGAACACAUGACAAUAUAAAGCAAGUCUGAAGCUUAAAGCAUGGGUUUUAGGAGCUAAACAGUUGUGCCCAGCACUGUGAUCUGUCGUUACUCUGCUGUUGUUGGUCCACCAGAGCUUAAAAUAGGCUGAGCAACAAGAUAAACAACUGUAAAAAUCCCAGGCUGCUGCCAGCAGAUACUUGGGAGGCCGCAGCAUCACACGGUUUCGCUUCACUUCCAGUUACUGCAUUAUUUGUAGAAGUCUCCAUUAUAAUUCAGGAACACACUGAACCCAAGUGUUGAUGCAGCCAGAGAAAAACUUCAUGCUGCAGAAGAAUCCACACACCGCAUGCAAUGCUGCAUCAGCCCAGCUCCAGUGCUGCAGGCAGAGCAUGCAUGAGAUCAUGGUCUACAACCUUCCCAGAUUCUCCGAAUUCACCCUGUCGAGGGCAGGUAGUUCUCAUGCUUCAGCUGCUGCCGUCACAGGCUUUGUUAGUGCUGGAGGCUGAGGCUUUGUAAGGAGCCACGGGAGUUCAGGACAUUCUGUUCAGAACGCCAAAGGCGCUGAAUAACCACUUACAUUUGCAUGUGCCUAAACAUAGCCUAAACAAACUGCAAAUAGCAGGAAUAGGGUUAGCACUGAGAAGCACAACUAAAAGCAACGAAUACCCAUUAAUGAUUUGGUACUUUUCCAGAAAGGCUAGAACACAGACUAUCAAAAAGAAUACGUGAAGUGGUAUUUUUGUACAGACAAUGGAGGAAACAACAAACAAAAAGCCCACAGUCACAAAGGGUAAAGAUUUGAGAUGUUUGCUGCAAACUUCAAAGCGUAGUUUUAACCAGUCAGUAUGCUUUAUGAGAUUAUCCCAAGAUAAGAUAAUCUGUUAAGCACUGUUUCUGGAGUUCUGACUAUUUGCUAGACAUGCACAAUCUCUUUGCUGCCUGAGCUCAAACGCUUUUCUCUGCUGCAGCAGCGGCAGCUCACAAAGAGGCAGCCAGCUUACAGCAGAGCCUCUGCAUUAUGAAUCACACCAUGUGCAGCAGAAGGCAGGCUGCAGUGCUCAGGGUGGGCUACAGAGAGCCAGAAGACCCGGGGUGCUCCUCCUGGUGCUGCCCAUGGUUUGACAGACGAUCGUCAGAGCGGCCCUCAUCGCAUACAUCUGUUUCUCAGCUUCCAUAUGCUAAGCAUCAGCAGUACAGCAGAACACCCCAGGGGUUGCUCACCUUAAGAAGUCAAAGAAGGGGAGAAUGAGAACAUCUGAAAAGGAAAGGAAAUAAUUUGGCGCAUCAUGAGGCAUUUACAUUUCUGAUUUCAGAGGCAAUUCAGGCUGCACUUUAGAACACAGGCUCUGACCCAUGUAACAGAAGAGAAGGGAAACGUUAAAAAUGUAACAGCACUCCUUACAAUUAUUUCAAACCACCCCCCCCGAGCGUCUGGUAAGGCAGGCUGUAGUUACUGCAGUGAGGCUCAUGAAGCGUCUGGAUGCUGUGAGCACUGCUGCCUCUGCUAUACCUGACCAGAUUCACCCUCAGAGCCUCCCUGAGCAAGGGAAGUAGGGCACUGAGUGCGGUUCAUUGCAGAGAUGGCUGCAGAAGAAUAUUCCCAUAGUUAAAGAUAGUCCGUGUCAGUGGAUCCGGUGAUGCACGCAGUGAUUUUUAAAGAAGCCCCGCCCGGUAACAGCGCAGGAUGCAGCCUACCGGCGGCACAGAGGAAUUCCCCCUCGGAGCCGAUUCGGCACAGGCAGCGCUGCAGAGCAGCAGGCAGCACUCUGCCGGCCGGGAUGCGUCGACACCAGAGGAGCUCCCGACAGUCUCCAGCUGCAGCAGACAGCGUGUCGUGCAGCCCGGCCCCCCAGCCUCCCCGUCAGCCUGUAAUCAGCUGCACUGUACAUGUGCACCAGCCUCGAGAACAUAGCAACAGGUGUACUUUGAAACCUGAAAGGUCCUUAGUUCAUUUAAGCCCUUGGCAGGAAGCCACAGCAGAAGGUCCAUUAGCACAGCUGUUGAAGCAGAGGGACUUACAAUGGCCACACCUGUUCCAUCACCACUGAACACCCACAAUGCUCCUCACUCCCACUUUCUGCCCAGUACACAGUGUGACAGACCCUGAGCAGCACAAAAUCCAAGUACAGCUCCAAAUGACUUCAGAAGCAUUAGCUCCACAUUGUGGCAGGAUUUCUUCCUGCUGUGACAGAAGGCUCUGCCGAACACACCACAAGACCGUAUCCGCUGUAGAUUCCAGUAGGGAGCAUUCACUUACUCUUCUCGGCAGGAUGGAAGAGACAUUCCCAUUUUACAGACAGAAAAAGAAGCCCCUCAUGAUGGCAAGGAUUUAAACGAGCAUUUUCUCAGUCAAAAGAUAGGCUUUUUAAAAAUUAUUUUUAAAGCUAAGGAUCGCUUGUGUUUUUUCUGUAAGAAAGUGAGAUGAGGACUUGAACCUUUCUGAGUGGAACUACUCAGUCCUGACCACCACGUGCCAAUCCCGUUCGGCUUUGCUACUUCUCCCAUUUAUAGAAGCUUCCUUGAUAAGCAUUUCAUCCAAGCCACUGGUAACUGCAGUCUGAUGUCAGAGGCUUGAGUUCUGUCUUUUAGGUAGAUCUAAUGGAUUUCAACCUCUCCACUGCAGUCAGAAGCAGGAUUUUUUCCUAGGAAAAAUCCAUUGCCACUGAGCUAGAUCUUUUAUUCUUCUUCAUAUAAAUAUAUAUAUAUUUAAGUUCAGAUUCAUGAACAAAGAUUGAAAUGAGCAAACCGUUUGUAUCAAGAAGAGAGAAAACCCUAUUUCUCAUUCUUCAGCAGCCGUUCCUGACAUGUCAUUUCGCAGAUGAAAAGGCUUUUUAUGUAGAACCUGAUACAGAGACUGAAAUGACUCGCAGAGCAUUCCAUUAAAAGGAAAACAUCCCACAGUACAGCAGUUGUGUACAUUUCUCUUGCUGUGGAACAAAACAGCAGUUUUUACUGCUAUGAUCUCCAAAUCCAACAGUAUUAUGUAUUUUAUCAAUGUACGAAUACUGAUGGGGGAAGAGAACAGAGCUCUUCUCCAUGGUGUCCAGUGACAGGGCAACAUGCAAUGGGCACGUACUGAAGCACGAGUAAAUCUGUUGAAGUAUAAGAGGAAAAUCUUUUUGCUGUGGGGCUGAUCAGACACCAGGACAGGUUACGCAGGGACGCCGAGUAAUCUUCAUGCUCAGGAGAUAUUCAGCAGCGACCGACAGUGUCCUGCCUAACUUGCUCUCAUUGCCCCACUUUGAAGAAUUCACUAGGUGACCUGCAGAGGUCCCUUCCAACCUCAGCUAUCCUUUAAUUGUGAGUAAUGAGAAGAAUGUGAUUUGCUUAGUCUAGAAAGGGAAAGCUGGAGGUAGGCAUAAUGGAUCCCUUUGAAGCAGACAGAUCUCUACGUGUACUGACCAAGACAGAUGAAGCAGUAACAGGCUAGCUGUAGGGAAAGAAUGGCACAUAUUUAUGUUCCACAGGUAGGAGUAUUUAAGUGCUGGAAUAGCCCAUGGAAUCUUAGCAGCAAACUUAAAAAGGAAAACACGUGAAGAGCCAUUGGGAAUGGCCUAGGUGUUAUCAAUUUUGCUUCAGAGAAUCUGAAUAUUCUACUGCUUGGAUCAGCACUUUCCAAGCACAAAAUAGGCAGCUUCAGCAUUUGUGCCUUCAGUGAGUGAAGUCACCACCACGGCAAGGAGGACACAGCAGGCAGGAAGAAGGAUCUUUGGACAAAGGUUCUCAAAGAAGGAAGGUGCACAAAGACAGAUGGAGAGCUGCAGGAGCCAGAGGGCGUAAUCAUCGUGUCUUAUCAUCAUCAGACCAGAAACCAAGAUGACAGCGCUCCUUAGAGUGACGGGAAAGAAAAGCCUCCAUUAAAUUGGGUAACUGGGGAGAAAAAAGCCUCCAAGUUUAUUCCUGCCAGCAAACUAGCUUCUCUAUGUCCUGUAGCACACACAGAGUACACCAGUCCUAGACAGGAGAAAAUGUCAACAUUUUUUCUGUGAUCCCACGAGAAAAGACUUUAUGUUGUAGGAAGGCUUUGUAAUUGCAAAGAAAGCUCAAUGGAAGAGACAGGGAAGAAAGGAAAUCUGAUGUCAAGACUCUGAUGAAUUUAACUUGUUAGUAUAAAUGUACAUACUGCACAUUUAAGCAGAAAUCCAAUAUCCUAAAAAUAUCCCCAGUACAGCCUGAGAACAGAAGAUUGUUGCCUUGCUAAACACCAGCCUCACUCCAGCUGAUUCUUGCGUUUUCACAGUAUUGCAAGUUAUGAACUCCUUCAAACUCUGGAAUACACCAUCAGGAAAAAAAAAAGAACAAAACCGAGAACAGUUUAAUUAUCUGAAAGUCAAAUCUGCAAAGGAACAGCCUACCUGACACCAGCACUGACACAGCAUUCAUACAUUCCACCACUGCUCACUCGGAUGUUUCCCUAAAAUGUUCAUUUAUUUUAGUGUACAUUUACUUUAAUAAAUGGAUAUUCAAUACAUGAAUUGGUGUUUCUGAAGACACCUUUUUUUUUUUUUUCUCUGUAAAACAAUUGAGAAAUUCAGACUAGCAUCUCCUCAUGAGUAUCUU
rnacentral:lncRNA from 1 species